AAACUCUGGUUUCUUUUCAGAUCGUAUAAAUCUUUCGCCUUUUACUAAAGAUUUCCGUGGAGAGGAACAGUAUUUGAGUUUUAACUCAAUGGAACAUUAUUUAUCAAUUAUUU